AGGGAAUCUUCCACAAUGGACGAAAGUCUGAUGGAGCAACGCCGCGUGAGUGAUGAAGGCUUUCGGAUCGUAAAACUCUGUUGUAAGGGAAGAACCAGUACGUCAGGCAAUGGACGUACCUUGACGGUACCUUAUUAGAAAGCCACGGCUAACUACGUGCCAGCAGCCGCGGUAAUACGUAGGUGGCAAGCGUUGUCCGGAAUUAUUGGGCGUAAAGCGCGCGCAGGUGGUUUCUUAAGUCUGAUGUGAAAGCCCACGGCUUAACCGUGGAGGGUCAUUGGAAACUGGGAGGCUUGAAUGGAGGAGGAGGAAGUUGGAUUUCAAGUGUAGGGGUUAAAUGCGUUGGGGAUUGGGAGGAAAACAGUGGCGGAGGAGACUUUCUUGUCGGCAACUGACGCUGAGGCGCGAAAGCAUGGGGAGCAAACA
rnacentral:rRNA from 1 species